CGCGGAAACACAGCGGAACGAUGGAAAAUCAUGCACAGAUAGAAGUGUCCGCCUGACAACAUCAAGGUGCCUGAGACUUUCCUGGUUUAAGACUACCAGCUAAGAGCCCAGCAUUUUGGAGAUCGCCAGCCAACAGACAUAUCUGACAGAUCUGAGAAGAAGGACAAGGAUCUAAGAAGAGGACAUCUUGACUGAAAGGUCAACGGACCCUCUACUCAACAAACUGAUGAAGGCUUCUUAUUGCUUGGAAGUUUUGAGCACUGGUUCUUGGACUGAUGGGACUAUCUUUUAACGCUGGGAUGCCAUAUGGCUGCAGCAACAACAUGACGUUGGGAUAGUGUCUAAGUCAACUUAUGAUCAUAUGUCCAUAUCAGCUAAAUCCUAUCUCAAUUGGGUGCCUUGUGUCUUAGAUUACGCUGAACUUGUCCUUUUAGUAUAAAUUUGCCAUCUUUAUGAUAAAAAAACAAUAUUCCGGAAUGAAGAAACA